UACGUAGGGUGCAAGCGUUAUCCGGAAUUAUUGGGCGUAAAGAGCUUGUAGGCGGUUUGUCGCGUCUGCCGUGAAAUUUCGAGGCUCAACCUCGAACUUGCGGUGGGUACGGGCAGACUAGAGUGUGGUAGGGGGAGACUGGAACUCCUGGUGUAGCGGUGAAAUGCGCAGAUAUCAGGAGGAACACCGAUGGCGAAGGCAGGUCUCUGGGCAUUAACUGACGCUGAGGAGCGAAAGCAUGGGGGAGCGAACAGG
rnacentral:rRNA from 1 species